ACGGGUGAGUAACGCGUGAGUAACCUGCCUUUCAGAGGGGGAUAACGUCUGGAAACGGACGCUAAUACCGCAUGACAUUUCGAAGCCGCAUGGUUUUGAAAUCAAAGGAGCAAUCCGCUGAGAGAUGGACUCGCGUCCGAUUAGCCAGUUGGUGAGGUAAAGGCCCACCAAAGCUACGAUCGGUAGCCGGACUGAGAGGUUGAACGGCCACAUUGGGACUGAGACACGGCCCAGACUCCUACGGGAGGCAGCAGUGGGGGAUAUUGCACAAUGGAGGAAACUCUGAUGCAGCAACGCCGCGUGAGGGAAGAAGGUCUUCGGAUUGUAAACCUUUGUCCUCGGUGACGAUAAUGACGGUAGCCGAGGAGGAAGCUCCGGCUAACUACGUGCCAGCAGCCGCGGUAAUACGUAGGGAGCAAGCGUUGUCCGGAUUUACUGGGUGUAAAGGGUGCGUAGGCGGCUCUGCAAGUCAGGUGUGAAAACUAUCGGCUCAACCGAUAGACUGCAUUUGAAACUGUGGAGCUUGAGUGAAGUAGAGGCAGAUGGAAUUCCCGGUGUAGCGGUGAAAUGCGUAGAGAUCGGGAGGAACACCAGUGGCGAAGGCGAUCUGCUGGGCUUUAACUGACGCUGAGGCACGAAAGCAUGGGUAGCAAACAGGAUUAGAUACCCUGGUAGUCCAUGCCGUAAACGAUGAUUACUAGGUGUGGGGGGUCUGACCCCUUCCGUGCCGGAGUUAACACAAUAAGUAAUCCACCUGGGAAGUACGACCGCAAGGUUGAAACUCAAAUGAAUUGACGG
rnacentral:rRNA from 1 species